AAUAGAAGGGCUUAUUACUUUCUGUUUAAAGUAACGAAAAUCUUAUUUGGUUGUUUGUUAACUUCACAGCACGAUCUCUAGUCACUAUAAUGUAUAGUUUCUUAUAGUGACAAUUUCUAAUCUCAUACGAUAUUACACCACAAUUUCUCCUUACCUCCACUGCAAUCAAAAAUAAUUAACUAUAUUAUACCCUUCCCAGAAAUUCUAUACUCAUUUAAAAAGUAUUCAUUUGGCGAAAAGAAAGGAUUCUUUCUUUUUCUUCUAUUACUGCUUGCUAUUAUUGAUUACAGAAGGGGGAAUUUUUCAGAAUUUCUUAUCAUUAGAUUUUUUUUGCCUGCUUCAAAAACUAAGUUUGUCUCUUCGAGUUUGUUCCAUUGUUGAAGGGCCAUUGUCACAAAAACAUAACGGAAUUUGAAACCUGAUGGGAUUGUAAGAGAAAGUUGAAAAGAGGCAAGGAUACCAUAGUUUUUGUUGUUUCGUUAACCAAGCCAAGUUCACUUUGGGUUUGGGUUUGGACUUACUUGAUUACCUGAAUGGACAUUUUCUUUGUGGAAACAGUUUCACAGUCACAGGUAGAUAGUGAGUAGUAAAAGGUAUCUAAAUUAGCCGAGAAUUCCGAGAAGGAAAAGGUAUGAUAAUGGCUCUCCUAUAAUGCAGUCAGCAAGCGCUUCAUUGUUGUUGCCCCUCGCUCUGUCUAUUUAUAGCUGUGUUAUUUGUGGUCGCCUCCUGGAACGAUUCAUUGCAAAGAUGCAAAGAUUAUUCACAUGUCAACUUGCUAGUCGAAAAUCUUGAUUCACGAUUCCUACAUUCGCACAGAUAUCGAUAAGUUUAGCUUGAGGCAUUGCAUGCUUCUAAAUAAUAAUUUCGUGUGCUGCUUUCGCCCAAUACGUCGAAAAUUGUCCAAGAAAGGCAUCGUCGUUGAGUGGAGUUGUGGAGGACAUAAUUAUAACGAAAAUAAGAUGUAGUGUUGUUCUCAUUGCACACUUUCACUCAAUUUGCCUACAAAAUGUAAACAAACGAUUGUCAUGUCCAAUUUUGUACAAGUGAAUGAUAAUUUAAUUUUCUUACUCUUUAGAUUUUUUUAUGUUUGCAGGCUUUUAUUUUGUUUAUGUUUGAAAAUGUAUGGAAACUUCAGAAAUUGAAAAGAGUUAGCUCUGCAGCUUGAAAAAAAUGAUGUUGGGCCACUUUGUUAUUGAAAAUAAACAAACUAGGAGUAGGUACUCUGUCUAUUGUCUAAAAUUUUUUUGGAAAUUAAAUAGAUUAGCUCCACAUCUAAUGAACAUUUAUAAAAUUAUUCUUGUUCUUGAAGAUAGGCAAACUAUUCUUUCUAUAAUUCUUUUGGAGUAAUGUUUCCACCUGAACUCUAUUGUACUUCAGUUUACAUCGUUCGUCUACGUUGUACGUGCAUUUUAACAGAUAUGAACACUAUCAAUGAGUAAUAACAAUAAAACUUGAAAAUGGUCAUAAAAUUCAAUUCGUGUUAUUAGAAUCGUUCACCAAGUAAACUUGUUUACUACUAUAGAAGGUUGAGUACUAGUUCAAGGACAAACUGAAAUAGAUAAUCUGAUGUGAGCAAUAUGGUUACUAUCGGUUGCUUUAUCAGUUUCAACUUUGAUAAUAAUUUAUUCUUAUCAGUAGAUAACAAAGUUCUCCCAGUUAUUACCUUACAUUUGAGAUUGGACAGUGCUUGGAAUAGAGAUAAAUGACUGCAAUUUGCCCUUCCAUUCAUAUAUGGUUUAUUGUAUGGUAUAUUUAUUGGCAUUGUUGAAUGUCCAAUUUCUAAGGUAUAGAUCUAUUAUUAGUUGUAAGAUUUUGUCCUAUUAAUAUUUCCUGCUAUAGGCCUUCAAGUAGUCGAAGUAGAGGUCGAUGAACUGUGGGAAGCAAUGUUAUGUUGUUAUAAUAUUUACUUUCCAUUGUUAGAAAUGUAUUGAAUGGUAGGUGUUCCUUA